rnacentral:rRNA from 1 species
ACUGAACGCUGGCGGCAUGCCUUACACAUGCAAGUCGAACGGUAACGCGGGGGCAACCCUGGCGACGAGUGGCGAACGGGUGAGUAAUACAUCGGAACAUAUCCAGUAGCGGGGGAUAACCUAUCGAAAGAUGGACUAAUACCGCAUACGAUCUACGGAUGAAAGCAGGGGACCGCAAGGCCUUGCACUAUUGGAGCGGCCGAUGUCGGAGUAGCUCGUUGGUGGGGUAAAAGCCUACCAAGGCGACGAUCCGGAGCUGGUCUGAGAGGACGAUCAGCCACACUGGAGCUGAGACACGGUCCAGGCUCCGACGGGCGGCAGGAGUGGGGAAUUUUGGACAAUGGGCGAAAGCCUGAUCCUGCCGUGCCGCGUAAGUGAAGAAUGCCUUCGGGUUGUAAAGCUCUUUCGGUGAAGACGAAACGGUUAGCGCUAAUAACGCUGACUAAUGACAGUACUCACAGAAGAAGCACCGGCUAACUACGUGCCAGCCGCCGCCGUAA